rnacentral:lncRNA from 1 species
GGGCAGAACAGUCGUACCUUCAAACGUGAACACUUGUACAACAAGCAGCGGUCAUUAUUCAACACUAGGAACUUUGUAUAAACUAUCAUGAGCAACACAUGAUGUGAUUCUGAAAAAAUGCACCAGUGAUCGCUGCACUUUAAACAGCUUUAGUAAAGUGCUGACAUUGAAUCUUUUGCGAAGGAUGUCCGUUCAGUAUAAUUCUACAAAAUGAUGACAAUGAAGCGAUUCGCGUUGCGUUGUGCGAUGCUCUGCAUAUUGGCCGCCCUUACUGCCAGCAAUAAACUACAUCACGGUCCACGUACGCAUUCACAUGGACCAUCAUACAAAAAGCAUACCCACCACGAUAUACCUCUAUGCAGGCGGGUAUCCGCUUGCCCAAAGGGUUGGGUUCAGUUAUGCCUAACACCUGCUAAUCAAUGGACAAUUUUUUGUGUACAAAAAAACAUGACCUGCGAGAGGUACUGGCGAAAAAUUUGCACAGAGAAGUCCGUUCCUUACUGUAACUCAGUUCCUAAACACUGCAUCUGUGUUUGUGCUGAUAGCAGAGCCGUAAUGGAAGCAAAAAAUAAGGGAGAUCAUUCAUAGGAAAAAAGGGGACCCCGACGAAGGACCACAGUGUCGUGUUCAUAUAACACCAGUGCAAAUGAGAGCCAGUACUUGACACACCAGCCAUUGAUACGUCCGUGCGGCGCAACCAAAGCCUCACAGCAUCACACCUAUGAAUAAAACAAAAUUAUGAAAGUUUCAUUCGCUUGAUUGAGACUUUCAGGUGUAAACGAGAAAUAAAUUAAAUUAUGUUGCA